GAUCAUGGCUCAGGACGAACGCUGGCGGCGUGCUUAACACAUGCAAGUCGAACGGGGCGCUUAUGAUGGAGAUUUCGGUCAACGGAUUAGGUUGCCUAGUGGCGGACGGGUGAGUAACGCGUGAGUAACCUGCCUUUCAGAGGGGGGACAGCAGUUGGAAACGACUGCUAAUACCGCAUAAUAUAUAUGGACCGCAUGAUCUGUAUAUCAAAGAUUUAUCGCUGAAAGAUGG
rnacentral:rRNA from 1 species